CACAGAAAUGGUGAGAUACUGAAUGUUUGUUGUUUUUGCAUUACACAGCAAGAGAUAACUAAUAUUAUAUGUAAUUAUCUACUCGGACUUCAAAAGGAGUUCUCAAAUGUAACGUUGAAACCCAAUCUCGAUUUCCUAUCCUCAGAGGAGAGAGAAUAGAAUAUGUCACUGCUAAAGCAUCACGGACAGGAAUAGAAGCACCAUGCUGCCGAUAGUGCGUGGGGUCAGGGGUUGGAGAAAUCUCAUGGCAGGAAGUAGCAGGCCUGUGAGACGAGAAAACAACAGGAUGCAGGGUGGGCACCCCAACUCAGGGGAACACUCAAUCAAACCCUCUGUCGAUUAUCCCACGAAGUCACGUGGAUUGGCUGAAGUGGCUAACUUUGACAUCACCUGCACCGACACUGUCGAGUGGACAGACACAAGGACAGCCUGGCUGAGAAAGGAUAGACUUCAGCACCGUGACAAACCCCACCGACACUCAACGCCAAGUGUAUGUCAUUUAAACAUUUCAAAAAAAUCCACCCCAACUCAGGCACGAUGUUUAAAUGCUUUUUAAGAUAAGACUCUAACUGAGCACGAACUACGGAGAAAUAUUUUCAGCUUCCUUCUUAUGUGAGCAAUUUUGAAAUUUUAUUCCAAGUCUCCCUCAAUAAAAAUGGCAAAAACUGAGCUCAUCUCCAACACACCUCCAUUCCAGGCAGAGAUGGGGGAGAAUCCUAAAUCUGAAAACCUCGAGAUAAGCUCCCUCUGUAUAUUUCGUGUUUUUGUAACACCUUAUAUGGAGAGUGCGUGUGAAAUAAAGUGUGUUCUUUCACAUAUGCUUGCUCGUUUGAGCCUCAUACAAGCUGUGGAAGAAAUGGAAAUCAUGACUUCAUUGCCAUUUUAAGUGGAAACUGAUGCUCAGAAAAGUCAGAGACUUGCCUUGAGGUCCCACAGCUGGUCCAUUCUGAAACUUGCUCUACAAUCAAGUUUCCUGAUGCCUGAGCCAGACAGUCACUCACUCCUUUGCCUCCGAAGCCCAGCUUGACCUGGGGAGGAGUCCGCCCUGGGACUCAUCCAGCACGUUGGGAGAACAAGACCAUCACCAAAACCACAUUCGCGGAGGCAAUGGAGAUCCACCUCGGAUGAGGGGAAGCCAGAGGGGCUUGCAUGGCUCUGUGGUCAGAGGGAAACAAGGGCAUGUGCUCUGCGCAAGGUGGUGAUGGACACCAGGUCUGUCUCUCAGGUGAGCCGUCCAGGGAGGGGGCUGACUGUUUAGCCUCACUCUCUGGAAGACAUGAGCACACAGAUAGGGCCCUGGUGCCCCACACAGGAUGCAAUACAAAAAGGGCCAUGAGGAACUGCGGGGCGCCUGGGAGUUCCAGGGUCUCAGGUGGGACACUGGCAGUGGGUGGAGGUGAAAAUGGCAUUGAUGUGAGGCUGCUGGAGCUCACAGACCCUGCCUCAGUCGUUCUGAGAGCAGGACCGGGAGAAAAGGGACUCUGCCUUGGAACCCACAUGCCCACCACCUCAUGGUCAACAGAUCUUUGCAAAAGUGGAUUGCACGGGGAAGCAAGCAAAGACACUGAGAUCGCAGUCCAGGUCUGGUGAGAGGGAGGCGGCACUCUCAGGAAGGGAGAGCAGGAGAGAACCGGGAGUGGAGGUCCAGGGCGAUGUGCAAACUCAGUGGGGACUUGAGACAUCCUAGCAGUCCGAGUGCAGGUUUGAUGCAAACUUAUCCUAAAAUCCAGGGAGGCCCCAAUGACCAAUGACCCUGAUAAUGAAAUUAAGGCCUGGAGGGUUUAAGGACUUGCCCGGGUCAUCGAACUCCCAAGCCAGUGCUCUUUUCGCUACAUCAUGAAUGUGCAUGAUACACCACAUCGCUGGACUCCGUGGGAUUUUCCCAGCCGGCUCUCGGUGACAGCCUGACAGUCAUAUGAUUAACACCCAGCUCCCCCCAUCCUUGCCUGGCCUGGCUUUCUCUCUCCUGAGUGCCAGUUUCUGCCUGUCCCGUGCCUGUUGACUCAGUCUAAAGGAAUGCUCGUUUUCUAAAGGUUUGCUCUCAUUAUAUAGUCAGUGACAAGACUUUGCAAAUCCCUCCUUAGCUUAUCGAUUCUGACAGCAUGCUCCCAAGGGGCACACAGUGAGCAUGGAUCUCCUGUGUGAGGACCCCCAGGGGCAGCCUCUGUUCUCGGGCUGUGCCUGUCUGCCCAGGGCGGGCACAGAGCGACGCUUCACUGAUCAUGGACAGCACGUUGUUCAUUCAUUCACUAACAGCGAAUCCAACAGCGGAGAUCCGAGGUCUUGAUCUAGAACCGCAGGUCAUAAGGCCAUUGAACCCUUGACAGCAUUCCCCCCAAAAUGGAGGCUGGAGACAAGUUUAAAUCACCCUGCAAAGUGGCAACAUUCACAACAGCCAGUCAUGACUUCCUUCAACACAUGCUUAUCGAGUAGAAGUAUGUGGCAAGCCCUGAGUUACAUGCCUGGAAUUUACUGGAGAGCAAGAUUGACACAUGGUCUGGUCUCAGGGCAGGAAUGCGGAGAAGACAGGCAAGUAGCAGUUAGACAAGUUGUGGGGCAGCUGAGCUGGGGACGCACGCAGCCCAGGUACUGAUGGAGGGGCUGGGGGACCAGGCUGGUGAGAAUGCACAUGAAGUUAGCUGUGGCAGGAGAAGUCCAAGGUGCCAACACAGAGGCCAGAAACGGGUUUGUUUGCCACAUCAGGCUGUGGAGAAGCUGGUCCUCUGAGACUCAAGAGUCAGUCUUCGACCUUAACUCCUGGAAAUCCUUGGGCAAAUGGUUAUAGGAUUGACAUCUCCUUCAGCAUUCAUUUCUCCAGAACUCACUGGCUGGACUUCUUUCACUUCAGGGAGCCUGUCUGUGCUCCAAAUUUCCAUUCUGCUUCAAAACAGUUCUAAGACUCAAAACAACUGACCCAACACACACCACUGAAAUACAUCAGAGAGAAGAAGGGGAAAGAAUGAAAUUGCAGAAAUUCUACUCACAGAGAAGUCAUUGAACCCCUUGUGAGGUGGCUGAGGACCUACCGGUCACUGAAGAGGGAUGAGGACUGUGAGCUUGGGAGCCAGCCACAGCUCCACGUACACCACCGUGUGGCCCUGGGCAGCGCACUUCACCUCCGUGAGCCUCAGUUUCUCAUCUGUAAAAUGAGUCUGCUAACUUUUCAGAGGAUUGUCGCAGGAUUAGGUAAGAUACUGAGUCGGCAAUGAGCCGAGUAUGUUUGUAUGUUUCCAAGCUACUCUGGGGCUUUUUGCCCAUUGCAUUAAAUUAAAGAAAAUUGUUUUUAAAUUUAUGAUUCACACAUAUACACGGGUGCACCAGGAACUCAAACCAGACCAUAAAAAGAAAUAGAAAGAACAAAAGGACAGAAAUGGAGCCCCAGAAAUGGGAGAUGUG